GAGGCUGUGUCUCAAAAUAAUAAAAAUUUGAAUUAAUUAAUCAAUUAAAAUUAAUACCCCCCUUUAAGAGUGCAGGGGUCUAUUUGGGCUCACAGUUUGAGGCUACAAUAUGUCCUGGUGGGGAAGGCAUGGCAGUAGGAAUUUGAAACAGCUAGUCCCAUAGUAUCCACCAGAGACAGGGAUGAGCGCUCAGCUCAUGCUCUGCUUGCUUCUUCCUUUUCAGUUAGUCUUUAGCAUCACAGAAGGGGACUCUCUUUGUUUAGGAUGGCUCUUGGUGCUUUGUUGUGUGGCAACCAAGACAAGGUCUUAGUUUGUAACCCAGGCUGGCCUGAAACUCCUGCUCCUGCCUCCUAUGAUAACCUUCUUGAGCCACCAGCUCUAGCUGCCAUUCUAAACUCUUAAGAGUGACCUUUGUUUUUAAGAGUGACCUUUGUGACAUUUCUUCCUUCCCUCGGCUCUUACAAAUUAAGUUUCUUAAAAAGUAAUGUAUUUGGAAGUGAAUAAGGCAGAUGAUGGACAUGGGAAGCCCAGAUCCUGGGCCCCAAUCAGAUCAUUUUUUAAAUUGAAAUUUGAUUUGAUUUUAUGUGUAUAAAUGUUUUGCCCGCAUCUAUGUCUAUUUACCAUGUGCUUGGCCAGUGACCACAGAGGCCAGCAAAGGACAUUAGACUUCAGGGACUGGAAUCAUAGACAGUUAUGUACUGCUAUGUGGGUACUGGAAGCUGUACCCAGGUUCUUUGGAAGAGCAGCCAGUGUUCUGAAGUAUCGAGUCAGCAGAACUUCUUUUUUAAAGGGGAGUAUCAGUCUGUGGCACAGGAUCACACUAUUCAAUCCUUCUAUUGGCCUGAAAAUGGAGCCCUUUCUGUCUCUUGUGCUGUCUCCUGUGGUGGAAUCGCCCAUCAUCACUCCCCACACUUUCUUUGAAUUAGACAGGAUUUUUAAAAAGAGCAGAAAGACUCGGUGCCCUGGAGAGAAAGACCCAUCCCAGGUAAGGUCUGGUUUUCCUCACUGUCUCCUUAUAACCACUUCGUGUCCCACAAAACUAUUCCCUCUUCUGUCCUACACAGAGACUUUCUUUGUUUUGGCAGUGUAGGGACAGAAGCAUGGUUGUGAGAAUACUGGGCAAGUGCCCUGCCAUUGAGUUUCAUUCCAAGAUGCCAACAUGGAGCUUUGAGACAGAAAAGUCCCCCAUCUUUUCCACAAGACCAGCUGUGAAUAAAUCUAUUUCUUUUAACUUACUUCUGUCUCUGGGAUUUUCAGUCGAGCAGUGAGCAGUAUACAACUUCAGUUUCAGUAACAGAACUAAGUUUCUGGCUUUCCUUUUCCCAAGUAAUUUAUUGUCUUACCCCUUACCUGAUUUUCCAUAAGGGUCUCCUAGUUUCCAAAGAACAGCAAACAUAUCUGUAAAACAUUGGCAAAGAAAGGCAAAAAUAACGAAUAAAAUAAAAAGAAAACUGUUAAGGAAGAACAGUUUGUUCCUAGUCCUUCAUUAACUUAAAAGUCUAUUCUAGUUAGAGAACUGUCUGAACUUUGAUUCCUCCACAAAAAGCAAAUGAGCUUUAAAUCAUUAUAAAUGUGAAGGAGCGUCACUAGCCUUCAUGACAAGGUGAUCACAAGUAACUGCCUUUCCCUUAACAGAAAUAUUUAACACAUAUGAUAGAAAUAUAAACAGAGCAAUGAUUUGUGAUGUCUCAAUAUGUUCUUCCUUGCUGAAGGACUGUUCAACUAGCUUUAAUCAGUAGUAAGGGCAAGCAGACAGGAAAAAUAAACCGUG
ensembl:lincRNA Gm14762 predicted gene 14762